rnacentral:lncRNA from 1 species
GGCCGGGCCGCAGCGGUUUGCGCCUUGGAGGGACUGAGGCCGACCCGGCCCCAGGAGAGCUGUGGCGAGCAGGGCGGAAGGAGGUUCCCCAGGAGACAUUUACUCUGCACCUGCGUACGCCAGGCAGCGCGCGAGAAGCGACUCGCUCCCGGCAGCACAGCUGUGGGCGAAGCACGGCCUCGCCACCGCACAGGUGGAGAAGACGAGGCCUGGGAGUUAGAUGAGGGGUCCGAGGCCGCCCGGCUCGUGAACCAGGAUCUUCAUUGGUUUUUUUCCUCCCUCCAAAGGGCGUGUCUUCUUUUUUUCUUUCUUUCUUUUUAUCCGCCUGAGUGCUAGGGAGAUUUCUGGGACGGAACCUAGUGCUCAAAGGAAGUGAGCAGGAGAGGAGGUAAAACGGGCUUUCAGAAUGUGUGCCCGUUGGUCACCCAUCAAGCUGCUUAGUAAAGCUACUUCACAUUUUAUUCUUGACUCUUGAGAUGGAGAACAUCGUGACUUUGCUUCUAGUAAUGUGAAAGCUUAGUGCCAUGUACUUUGCGGUGUUUGCUUGUUUUUCUUUUUAGAGCGUAAAGAUAGCAUUGAGGCACUUGAGUCUUAAGCAUGUAAAUACACCUGUGGAAAGUGAGUCAGAACCUGUAACCUGGGGCUCAAAGGUAAAGGUCCACUGUUGAGAGGAAAGCUUUAAAAACAAAAUUUACUAAAGCUGGGUGAAAAAAAAAUUAGCCACCAUUACCUAUUAAGAUGCACAUCUGUCAUGUAGCUAUCAUAAUAAUAUUUGUAGGGUACUUUACAAAGGACAAAGGACUUCUGCUCGCACCCUUCCCGUUGACUCCUCAGCAAUCCUCCAGUAUGUGGGUAUUAUUGCCCCAUGCUAUGUAGAUGGGGAAACUGAGGCUCAGACAGUGUGACUUGCCCAGGACCACACAGCAGGAAGUGGCAGCACCUGGAUUGAGACCCCAUGCCCUUCCUGGCACACCCCCUGCUCCUUGCUGCCUGCUGCCUGCCCCGCGCCCAGGAAGGUCGGCCCCGGGCAGGAGCCCGUGCCUUGCUGUUAUGGCACGACGUGGAAGAAGCCUCAGGAGAGGAGAUUCCGAGACGCUGCUAUGAACAUGAGUAGGAAAAUAAAAACCAGCGCCUCGGCUCUUAGCCAGCUUUGGAACAGGAGACCACCACCCCGUGACAAGUUCUCCCGUCUUGUGUUCCUGGUAGGCAGAGGGUCUGUCCCUGUCCCGGUCUCGGGCAUUAGAUAAAGCAGUGGUUCUCAAAGAGUGGUUGCGGGACCGACAAUUUGCAUCAGCAAAUCCUGGGAACUCUUGGACUGAGUCGGGGACUUCAGAGAGGGCCCAGGGAGCGUGUCCAGCCAGACCUGCAGGUGACGCUGCUGCACCUCGAGGGUUGAGAUCCACU